UGUGUGUGUGUGUCAGUAUUUCUCAGUGUAUGUGGGUGUCAGUAUAUCUGUCAGUGUGUGGGUGUCAGUAUUUCUGUCAGUGUAUGUGUGUCAGUAUGUUGAUCAGUGUAUGGGUCUGUGUGUGUGUGUCAGUAUGUCGGUAUAUGUGUGCGUGUGUCAGUAUUUCGGUAUAUGUGUCUGUGUGUCAGUAUGUCUGUCAGUACGUCUACCAGUGUAUGUGUCUGUGUGUGUGUCAAUAUAUGUACCUGUGUCAGUGUGUCUGUCAGUGUAUGUGCCUGUUUAUCUGUAUGUAGUCAGUGUAUGUAUCUGUGUAUCUGCUUGUGCGUCAGAGUGUGUACCUGUGCAUCUGAGCCGCAACUUUAAAUACAAAUACACCCCUCCA
rnacentral:lncRNA from 1 species